CAUGCAAGUCGAACGAAGUCUUCGGACUUAGUGGCAGACGGGUGAGUAACGCGUGGGAACCUACCCUUUGGUACGGAACAACAGUUGGAAACGACUGCUAAUACCGUAUGAGCCCUACGGGGGAAAGAUUUAUCGCCAAAGGAUGGGCCCGCGUUGGAUUAGCUAGUUGGUGGGGUAAAAGCCUACCAAGGCGACGAUCCAUAGCUGGUCUGAGAGGAUGAUCAGCCACACUGGGACUGAGACACGGCCCAGACUCCUACGGGAGGCAGCAGUGGGGAAUAUUGGACAAUGGGGGCAACCCUGAUCCAGCCAUGCCGCGUGAGUGAUGAAGGCCCUAGGGUUGUAAAGCUCUUUCAGCGAGGAGGAUAAUGACGUUACUCGCAGAAGAAGCCCCGGCUAACUUCGUGCCAGCAGCCGCGGUAAUACCGAAGGGGGCUAGCGUUGUUCGGAAUCACUGGGCGUAAAGCGCACGUAGGCCGGACUUUUAAGUCAGGGGUGAAAUCCCGGGGCUCAACCCCGGACUGCCUUUGAUACUGGAAGUCUUGAGUNCGAGAGAGGUGAGUGGAACUCCGAGUGUAGAGGUGAAAUUCGUAGAUAUUCGGAAGAACACCAGUGGCCAAAGCGGCUC
rnacentral:rRNA from 1 species